AAAAUAUUGAAAUUUUUACAUAUAUAUCUACUGACUUUACCACAGCCUGGAUUAAGAUGUAGAACAUGAAGUAUAUCACAAGAACUGUUCUCAUGCCCCUGUCAUCCAUAUCACCCCAUUAAAGAUGGGAAAACAUGCCUCAAUAGCAUUUGUUUCUGAGAUACUUGCUGCAUUACUAGAAAAUAACAGCUGGAGCAUCAAGAACAGAGAACUUAACACCCAAGGACGACACUGUGACCAUCUGUGUUGGUGAAUACGUUCCUAGGGGUAGACUCUGGAUGAAACAAGGUGACUCCAAGAGCAAAGCUUAGAAUACCUGAAUACCUGCAAGCAAGACAAGUAGAUUAAGUCCUGACAGAAAAGUAUACGCGGGCCCAAGCUAUUUUUAGCCUCUGUGGACAGCUCCAUAGGGAGAAUGAACUAUUCGUCAACGUCACCCAUAUUUUACUGAAGAUUUUGAAGGUAUUCCAAUGUGACUGACUACUACGUUUCCUCACAUGUGUGCUGCUGUAUCUGAGAUCACCAUGUUUUCAAUUAUCUCAUAUGAACCUGUUUCUGUUCAGAAAAAAUCCUUCCCUGGUGAUCCUAUUGUGGUAGACAUAAAACUGUGCCACCCAGAUCCCAUUCCAGGGAAGAAUAUGCUGCUGAGCUGUUGGAAGUACAAUCAGUGGAAAACCUUGGUCUGUCAGCAACUUCAAGGUUUGCCUCCUUUGCAGAAAUGGUCCAUUCAAAGUCAUGCCCUUCCUAUAGCAGUCUACAUUCAACCACUGAGUGAGGCAGAAAUAAAAAAGUGCUGAUAAUUUUCAACCUACAAGGGCAUUAAUGAGCAAUACCUGCUCCAGAGCUCCACAGUGGGUUCUCAGAAGAUGUGUCUUGCCUGCAGCACAGCUUGACUCCUU
rnacentral:lncRNA from 1 species